ensembl:lncRNA
UGUUUUUUUUUUUUUAAAUUAGCUAUUUUUAUACAUACAAAUAUAUAAAUGAUGUAUACAUGUAACUCUUAUUGUGUAUUCUUUAUUUUUAUUUUAUUAUUAUUAUUAUUAUUAUUAUUAUUAUUAUAAUUAUUUUUUUUUAUUUUAUUUUUUUUUCUUGAUAUAGGGUAUGCGAAUAUAUAGACAUUUUAAUAAUCACAAAUUAUAAUUUAAAGUACGUUGGUGCUCUGCCUUUAGUGUACACAAAAUUGCAAAAGGCGAAUAAAAAAGUAACAUUAUUAUGUCAUGAAUAUGUAAAACAUUAUAGUAAAUAUAUUUUAUUAAGCUAUUAUAAAUGUUUAAAAAAUUGUGAAUUUUUCAAAAACUUUGUUACAAAUGAAUAUAAUAAAUUAAUAAAAGAAUUAUAUAAUGAUAUAACAAUAUUAGAAUACAGAGAGCAUUAUAUAUUCAAAAAAGUAAUUAAUAAAAAGAGUGACAUUACAUGUAUAUUGCCAUUAUAUUUGAUAAACAAUGGAGAUGACAUAGGUUCUUCAGGAAUUAUAUUCAAAUUGUUCAAUCAUAAAAUUUUGUAUUCAAUUAAUUUUAAUGUGUCUGAUUAUUCUUUUAUUGAAAAAUCAGAUGUAUUUAAACAAACAGACAUUUUUACUUUUAUUAGUAACUUUCAUUAUACAAAUAAAAAUUACACAAAAUUUGUUGAUUUAAAAGAAAUUUUGAAAAUUAUUAAUAAAACCAUUAAUAAAAUGGGUUCUGUCAUUUUGCCCGUAGACGUUGACAGUAAUACAAAAAAAAAAAAAAAAAAAAAUCCCUAGUUCGAGAACACGUUCGCAUGUAAUUAUAUGUAUGUAUGUAUGUAUGUAUAAAACUUAUAACGUAUAUUUUAUUCUUUCCUUUUCGUUCAGACACUUUUCUGGACCUAUUGUUUCACGUCAAUGCAUUAUUGGAAGUGUGCGCACAAAGAUAUGCACUUUUGUUCUUAUGUGAUUAUUCGAUAAACUUCAUAAGGUUACUAUGCACGUCACUAAGUUAUAUGAACGUUAACAUAAGGAACAAUUUCCACAGAAACAGAAUAAAUUUAUUUAAAAUUAAGAAUUUGAUUUGCUUAAAAAAUUAUAAUGAUUUUAAAAAAUAUGAAGAGGGAUAUUAUAUUUUAUUUUCUUUUCCUUCUUCAUUAAACAAUGAGUCAAUUAAAAAAAUUUUAUCGAAAUUUUUAACAAAAAAAAAUAAUGCUGUUAUAUUUACCAAAAAAAUUAAUGAAAAAUCAACAAGUUUUGCUAGCCAAGUUUAUAAUAAUUUUUAUAUAAAUAAGGAAAAACAUAACAAGAAUGAAAAUUUUAAUUUUUCGUAUAUACAAAAUGUAAAACUAAGUAAAAAGAAGUUAUAUGAAAUUUAUUUAAAAAAUAAAAGUAACAUUGAAACUGACAUUGUAUUGUGCAAAACUGGAAAGAAUGAAAAUAAAAUAAAACAAAAUAGGAACGAUAAAAAUGAAAAUAGUAAAAAAAAAUCAAAAAAAAAACAUCUAAAUUUUAUUUUCGAGUCAAAAGAAGAAAUGGUAUACGUAAAAAAAGAAAAGAAUAUUAUGAUAAAAAAAGAAAAAAAAAAAAUUCAAAAUAAUUGUAACACCCGUUUUAAAAUUGAAAAAUUUGAUAAGCCUCAGGCUAGUGAUAUUUUAAUAAAGCAUGAUAUGGUAGGACAACUGGGGGUAAAAAAUGAGAAACAGCGGAUUAGGACUGGUAAAUUAAAUAAGAAGGUUAAUAAUAUGGACAACCUACUUGACAGUGAUGAAGAAGAAGAUAGUGAAUAUGACGACGCCAGUGAAUAUGACGACGCCAGUGAACAUGACGACGUCAGUGAAUAUGACGACGUCAGUGAACAUGACGACGUCAGUGAAUAUGACGACGUCAGUGAAUAUGACGACGUCAGUGAAUGUGACGAAAGAAGCAAUAGCAAUAGUGAUAAUAACAACGGUAAUAAAAUAAAAAAAAGAGAAAAAAAAAAAUAUAAUACAAAGAAUACAUAUAGUUAUGAUGACAUUAAAAAAUAUAAUAAUUUAAAACGUGAAAAACUAAAAAGGUAUAAACGUGAAAUUAUUAAAAAUGAAACAUAUGAUGAAAAUAAUAAUAGUACAAACGCUCAGUUAGAUUCUAACCGUUCUUCUUUUUUUGAAAAUAUUAAUGACACUACAAACGAAAAUGUUUAUAAUAAUAAUAAUAAUAUCAAAGAAAUAAAUAAAAUAAAAAAGAGAAAGAACUACUUCGAACAAAAUAACGAAAGUGCAAUUAACAAAUCAUAUAAUAGCAUAUAUACAAAUGAAAUACAUGCUAAGCACAAUAAUAAUUCAUUUUUUAUCGGCACUAAACAUGAAGAGACGUACAAAUAUACUAAUGAUAACAUAUUUUGUAAUAAUAUUGAUGAGAAACAAAAUAUAAAUAAUAAUUUCAAAUUAGUGGACAAAAAAAACAUUAUUUAUAACGAAGGAGACGAAAUAAGUGAUAAUGAAAACAUAUCUAUAUCGAAGUAUUACCAAGUACAUGGAAAAGAGAAAAAAAUAAAAAAGAAAAAAAAAAGAAAAAAAAAAGAGCAUGUGUAUGGAAAUGAAGAUAUGUCAAAUGAAACGACUAGUUGCGUCAGUAGUAAUAUCAGUAGUUGUAUUAGUAGUAGCGGGAAUGACAGUGAUAGCAAUAAUAAAAAUAGCAAUAAGUUUUCAAAAAACAACUCGUGGGUGAAAAAACUAAUUAAUUACUUAAAAGUAAUACCAUUGGAUAAAAACGAACAAAAUGUAUCUAUUCCUAUUAAUUGUGAUAUACAAUUAUUUGAAAUAGAAAAUGUGAUUAAUCAAAAUGGUUUAAAAACUGUUUUAUUUUUAAUGAAACCCAAAUAUUUUGUAUUAUUACCAUCUUGUAAUAGUUUUUUUACUUUUAAUUUCGAAUUAUUAUUAUCAUCGUCUUUUUCAUUGUCAAACAAAAAUAACGAAUAUACUACUCUUUAUACAUUUUAUACACCUAAUUUUAUGGAUACUAAUAAUAUAUCAAAUGUUUUUUAUAAACGACAUUUUUCAAAUAAUGCCUCACCAAUUGAUUCGGUUCAAAUACCAAUAAAUGUGCAUUAUCAAAAUGUUUAUAUCAAAAGUAUAUACAAUUUGAUAAACAACACAUCUAAUAAUAAAACGAAGAAUAUAAAUUCAAAUUAUAAAAUUUUUAAAAUUAAAGCCAAACUUUGUAACACACAGAAAGAAAAUGAAAAUGGUUCUACC